UGCGUCCAAUAUUAUUAACAUCCAUCUCAAUUUGCAUGCCUUUUACUUUGAAAACUAGACUUUUAAGUCUCAUUUUUAUGCAAUCAUAAAAUUCUCUCACUGAUCUAGGAUAGGUGAGCAAAUUCAAGGAGCAGAUAAAUUUUCAGCCCAUCAGUAGAUAUCCUUAGUAUCCGAGUUAAUCUUAUAUCAUCCAACACAAUA
rnacentral:lncRNA from 1 species